CUUAGAAGCAGCCAUCAUUUAAAGAAAGCGUAAUAGCUCACUGGUCGAGUCGGCCUGCGCGGAAGAUGUAACGGGGCUAAACCAUGCACCGAAGCUGCGGCAGCGACACUGUGUGUUGUUGGGUAGGGGAGCGUUCUGUAAGCCUGUGAAGGUGUGUCGUGAGGCAUGCUGGAGGUAUCAGAAGUGCGAAUGCUGACAUAAGUAACGAUAAAGCGGGUGAAAAGCCCGCUCGCCGGAAGACCAAGGGUUCCUGUCCAACGUUAAUCGGGGCAGGGUGAGUCGACCCCUAAGGCGAGGCCGAAAGGCGUAGUCGAUGGGAAACGGGUUAAUAUUCCCGUACUUGGUGUUACUGCGAAGGGGGGACGGAGAAGGCUAUGUUGGCCGGGCGACGGUUGUCCCGGUUUAAGCGUGUAGGUGUGUGUUCCAGGUAAAUCCGGUUCACUUUAACACUGAGGCGUGACGACGAGGCACUACGGUGCUGAAGCAACAAAUGCCCUGCUUCCAGGAAAAGCCUCUAAGCAUCAGGUAACAUCAAAUCGUACCCCAAACCGACACAGGUGGUCAGGUAGAGAAUACCAAGGCGCUUGAGAGAACUCGGGUGAAGGAACUAGGCAAAAUGGUGCCGUAACUUCGGGAGAAGGCACGCUGACACGUAGGUGAAGUGAUUUACUCAUGGAGCUGAAGUCAGUCGAAGAUACCAGCUGGCUGCAACUGUUUAUUAAAAACACAGCACUGUGCAAACACGAAAGUGGACGUAUACGGUGUGACGCCUGCCCGGUGCCGGAAGGUUAAUUGAUGGGGUCAGCGCAAGCGAAGCUCCUGAUCGAAGCCCCGGUAAACGGCGGCCGUAACUAUAACGGUCCUAAGGUAGCGAAAUUCCUUGUCGGGUAAGUUCCGACCUGCACGAAUGGCGUAAUGAUGGCCAGGCUGUCUCCACCCGAGACUCAGUGAAAUUGAACUCGCUGUGAAGAUGCAGUGUACCCGCGGCAAGACGGAAAGACCCCGUGAACCUUUACUAUAGCUUGACACUGAACAUUGAGCCUUGAUGUGUAGGAUAGGUGGGAGGCUUUGAAGUGUGGACGCCAGUCUGCAUGGAGCCGACCUUGAAAUACCACCCUUUAAUGUUUGAUGUUCUAACGUGGACCCGUUACCCGGGUUGCGGACAGUGUCUGGUGGGUAGUUUGACUGGGGCGGUCUCCUCCUAAAGAGUAACGGAGGAGCACGAAGGUUGGCUAAUCCUGGUCGGACAUCAGGAGGUUAGUGCAAUGGCAUAAGCCAGCUUGACUGCGAGCGUGACGGCGCGAGCAGGUGCGAAAGCAGGUCAUAGUGAUCCGGUGGUUCUGAAUGGAAGGGCCAUCGCUCAACGGAUAAAAGGUACUCCGGGGAUAACAGGCUGAUACCGCCCAAGAGUUCAUAUCGACGGCGGUGUUUGGCACCUCGAUGUCGGCUCAUCACAUCCUGGGGCUGAAGUAGGUCCCAAGGGUAUGGCUGUUCGCCAUUUAAAGUGGUACGCGAGCUGGGUUUAGAACGUCGUGAGACAGUUCGGUCCCUAUCUGCCGUGGGCGCUGGAGAACUGAGGGGGGCUGCUCCUAGUACGAGAGGACCGGAGUGGACGCAUCACUGGUGUUCGGGUUGUCAUGCCAAUGGCACUGCCCGGUAGCUAAAUGCGGAAGAGAUAAGUGCUGAAAGCAUCUAAGCACGAAACUUGCCCCGA
rnacentral:rRNA from 3 species